rnacentral:lncRNA from 1 species
CUGGCCUGCAUGUCAGCCUCCCUGCAGCCUGGAGAGUCACUUCUCUCUCUGUGGGAAAGCCUGCUGGAGGCAUAUUGGCUACAAGAUGAGGUUUCUUUUUCCAUUUUCUUCUUCUUUUUUGCAAAAAUCAGCUUGAAGCUCGUUAAUGUCAGGAAUGAGAGUGAAGCGCUCUUACGAAAUAUGAAAGGACAUUGGGAAGAGAAGACUUUGUUCGGUUGUAGAAGAUUCUGUUACAUCCUUCCUCAAAGACAAUGAUUACCACUUACUCGUGGUGCAUUUGCAUACCUUCAAAAAUCCAAGAAAGGAAACGGAGUCCUCUCCACUGAAGAUCUACUCUAAGGGAUCUGCUGCCUCCAUUCAGACACAACUAUCUGGAAGCUUCUCAAGACUGAAAAAAGUUACAUCUCACUAGCUACACGACAAUAUGUAAAGUAUUUGGCAAUGUGCCUUGUUAAGCAUUAAAGAAAUGGCAGUUAUUAUUAAGCUGUCACUAUUUUGAAGUUUUGCAUUUUUUGACAUUGAAAAUAUAAGAUGAAACAAAUAGUAAAAUAAGGGAAGAGGAGGUUCAUCAAUGUAUAUUUUGCAAAUACUUAGGGUUUUUUUUUAGCUGUUUCUUUUUAAAAAUUCUGGAU